rnacentral:rRNA from 1 species
GCUAGAGUGCAGGAGAGGAAGGUAGAAUUCCCGGUGUAGCGGUGAAAUGCGUAGAGAUCGGGAGGAAUACCAGUGGCGAAGGCGGCCUUCUGGACUGACACUGACACUGAGGUGCGAAAGCGUGGGUAGCAAACAGGAUUAGAUACCCUGGUAGUCCACGCCGUAAACGAUGUCGACCAGCCGUUGGGUGCCUAGCGCACUUUGUGGCGAAGUUAACGCGAUAAGUCGACCGCCUGGGGAGUACGGCCGCAAGGUUAAAACUCAAAUGAAUUGACGGGGGCCCGCACAAGCGGUGGAGCAUGUGGUUUAAUUCGAUGCAACGCGAAGAACCUUACCUACUCUUGACAUCCUGCGAAUUUGGUAGAGAUACCUUAGUGCCUUCGGGAACGCAGAGACAGGUGCUGCAUGGCUGUCGUCAGCUCGUGUUGUGAAAUGUUGGGUUAAGUCCCGUAACGAGCGCAACCCUUGUCCUUAUUUGCCAGCGCGUAAUGGCGGGAACUCUAAGGAGACUGCCGGUGACAAACCGGAGGAAGGUGGGGACGACGUCAAGUCAUCAUGGCCCUUACGAGUAGGGCUACACACGUGCUACAAUGGUCGGUACAAAGGGUUGCCAACUCGCGAGAGUGAGCCAAUCCCGAAAAGCCGAUCUCAGUCCGGAUCGGAGUCUGCAACUCGACUCCGUGAAGUCGGAAUCGCUAGUAAUCGUGGAUCAGAAUGCCACGGUGAAUACGUUCCCGGGCCUUGUACACACCGCCCGUCACACCAUGGGAGUGGACUGCACCAGAAGUGGUUAGCCUAACGCAAGAGGGCG